rnacentral:rRNA from 1 species
GACAGCAGUGUUACCGUCAUCUAGCCUGUCCUUGUCAGAUCUCAGGAGUUAAGCAAGGCUGGGUCUCAUUAGUACUUGGAAGGGAGAUCUCUACAGAAAAGCAGGUCACUGCUGCAU